GAGGGAAUAGCUCAAAUGGUAGAGUGCAUGCUUAGCAUGUGCUAGAUCCUGGGUUCAAUCCCCAGUCCCUCC
rnacentral:tRNA from 1 species